AUCUACAGAAUGUGAUAAAAACACAUGUUCAGGUUCUGACUGUGCAGUUUUAGAUGGAUGCAGAAUCACAUCCUCCUGUCUUGUUUCUGAUGGAGUGGAAUAUUUGGAUUCAGCUGAUGGAGCACUCGAAUCUAGUGGAACAGACGCUGACUGCUGUGUUAUUGCUCUUUUGGCCACAGGCUUUGCUCAAGAUAUGGAAGAAGUCCUGCAACAUGAUACACCCAGGUGCACUUUCAGGCCUCCCUGUCUCUUCUGGACGCCGGCACCGCUUGCGCAGCCAAGGGCACCUGCCUGCCGGGAUCGAGUUGCAGGCG